GUCUAUGACCAUGCCACCCUGAAAAAGCCCGACGUCUGAUCUCAAAAGCUACGCAAGGUUGGGUCUGGUUAGUACUUGGAUGGGAGACGACCUAGGAAGACUAGGUGCUGUAGGCA
rnacentral:rRNA from 1 species